rnacentral:rRNA from 1 species
GCUGAAAGCAUCUAAGCGGGAAACUUGCCUCAAGAUGAGAUCUCACUGGAACCUUGAGUUCCCUAAAGGGCCGUCGAAGACUACGACGUUGAUAGGUUGGGUGUGUAAGCGCUGUGAGGCGUUGAGCUAACCAAUACUAAUUGCCCGUGAGGCUUGACCAUAUAACACCCAAGCAAUU